rnacentral:rRNA from 1 species
GUGGGGAAUAUUGGACAAUGGGCGCAAGCCUGAUCCAGCCAUGCCGCGUGAGUGAUGAAGGCCUUAGGGUUGUAAAGCUCUUUCAGUGGGGACGAUAAUGACGGUACCCACAGAAGAAGCCCCGGCUAACUUCGUGCCAGCAGCCGCGGUAAUACGAAGGGGGCUAGCGUUGUUCGGAUUUACUGGGCGUAAAGCGCACGUAGGCGGAUCGUUAAGUCGGGGGUGAAAUCCUGGAGCUCAACUCCAGAACUGCCUUCGAUACUGGCGAUCUUGAGUCCGGAAGAGGUGAGUGGAACUCCUAGUGUAGAGGUGGAAUUCGUAGAUAUUAGGAAGAACACCAGUGGCGAAGGCGACUACCUGGACUGAUACUGACACUGAGGUGCGAAAGCGUGGGGAGCAAACAGGAUUAGAAACCCGGGUAGUCC